CAGCCGUAAACUAUGCGCGUUAGGUGUACUGGUGACCACGAGUCACCGGGGUGCCGAAGGGAAACCGUGAAACGUGCCGCCUGGGAAGUACGGUCGCAAGGUUGAAACUUAAAGGAAUUGGCGGGGGAGCACCACAACGGGUGGAGCCUGCGGUUUAAUUGGACUCAACGCCGGAAAUCUCACCGGAUAGGACAGACAUAUGAUAGUCGGGCUGAAGACUCUACUUGAUGAUCUGAGAGGAGGUGCAUGGCGUCAGUG
rnacentral:rRNA from 1 species